GCGGCAUUAGCUCAGUUGGUAGAGCACUGGAUUGUGGCUCCAGUGGUCACCGGUUCGAUUCCGGUAUGUCGCCCCA
rnacentral:tRNA from 1 species